AGACUUAAGACCAUCAUAGAAUCUUGUGCACAUGAAUCCAUAUUUUGGUUCAUAUCCAGACAUGACAUUAAGACAUGCACGGAGUGUUCUAAAUAUGGUAGAGUGUAUAUGGAGGUUAUGAGUAGGUCAAUAUGGAAUCAAUCACUCAUAGUAAGAGGAGAUCGUAUCCUGUGUAUUCUCAAUCCUAGAUGACUCAAGAAAAGUCUUUUGGCCAA
rnacentral:lncRNA from 1 species